rnacentral:rRNA from 1 species
UCUUCCGGUAGGCGACCUGCACAGGUGCUGCAUGGCUGUCGUCAGCUCGUGUCGUGAGAUGUUGGGUUAAGUCCCGCAACGAGCGCAACCCUUAUCCCUAGUUGCCAUCAGGUAAAGCUGGGAACUCUGGGGAGACUGCCGGUGAUAAACCGGAGGAAGGCGGGGAUGACGUCAAGUCCUCAUGGCCCUUACAUCCCGGGCUACACACGUGCUACAAUGGCAGGUACAGAGGGCUGCGAAGCCGCGAGGUGGAGCGAAUCCCAGAAAACCUGUCUCAGUCCGGAUUGAAGUCUGCAACUCGACUUCAUGAAGGCGGAAUCGCUAGUAACCGCGAAUCAGCAGGUCGCGGUGAAUACGUUCCCGGGCCUU